AUGGAUAGCGACAUUUGUAUCAGACACAAAGUUGACCUGGAGCGGAUGCUGCUUGAUGAAAGUACAGAGCCAACGCGCCUGGCGUUAUCGCUUUUAGAAGACAUCACAAACUGUUUCUCUGAUGAUGAGCAAAUUGGCAGCGGUGGGUUCGCCAUGGUUUAUAAGGGAAUGGUGGGAAAAGGGAUGGUCGCUGUGAAGAAGCUGUCCAACACAUUUGGUGUGCAUGAGAAUAAAUUCUAUAAAGAGGUUGAGUGCCUAAUGAAGGUCAAGCACAAAAACAUAGUGCGUUUCUUGGGAUAUUGUUCCGACACGCAAGGGAGAACUGCAAAUUACGAAGGGAAGUUUGUCAUGGCAGAGCUGCGAAAUUGGUUGCUAUGUUUUGAGUAUGUAACGAAUGGAAGCCUCGAUAAGUAUAUUACUGACGCAUAUCGCGGACUUGAAUGGAGGGAGCGCUAUAAUAUUAUCAAGGGAAUAUGUGAGGGCUUACUUCAUCUUCACGAGAAACGCAUUCUCCACUUAGACCUGAAGCCUGGUAAUAUAUUGGUAGAUGAUCACAUGGUACCCAAAAUUGCUGAUUUUGGUCUAUCAAGGUGCCUUGAUAAAGAGCAAACCCGGGCUUCUACCUUGAACCCAUGUGGAUCGAUGGGAUAUUUGGCACCAGAAUCCUUCGGAGGGAAACUAACAUUCGCAUCAGACAUAUAUAGUCUUGGUGUUAUCAUAAUGGAAAUAAUGACAGGAGAGAAGGGAUAUCCAGAAGUGGAUGUGGUUAAGACUUGGAUGAAUCGGUUGGAGGGAUCAGAUCAAAUGGAGGCACACUUGGAGCAAGUGAGAGUAUGCAUUAAGAUAGGGAUGGAAUGCAUUGACUCGGACCCAAAGAAGAGACCAGUUGCACGGCAUGUAAAGGAUAGGCUUGAUAAAAUCACAAGUACCAUGGAAACUGGCAUCAGUAGUUCAUCAUUUGAACAAGUUAGUCUCCUAAAGGAACAAUGUUGUGAAGAGAAAGUUGCAAAGCUUUCAUCUGAGUACCUUGGAAAGGACAUCAAGGAACAUGCUGAAACAGAAGAACUUGCAAAAUAUAUUGGGGCACCUAAAGAAGAUCAUUGGCAGCAAAUUCGAGAAAAAGCUCCAGGUGAUCAAUGGUCAUUAUGGGGAGCGCAAGAUACAAAUCAAAAUGUCAUCCCACAUUGGCAGCAAGGUCGAGAAGAAGUUCCAGGUGAUCAGUGGCCAUUAUGGGGAGCGCAAGAUACAAAGCGGAUUGACAUCCCACAAGGUGCAAGCAGUUCUAGCUCUAACUCUGGUUUCCUCUACAAGCUAAACAAUUUGGACAUCUUCAACACAAAAGCACGCAGGAACUACGAGCGGUACGGUGGGCUUACAUUGGAGAAGACAAGAACUGUGAGACUUUUCAGAAAGGGUGAGCUCAAACCAUUUUUAAAGGAUAAGAAUUUGAUUGGAAAAGGACGCUAUGGAGAAGUUUACAGGGGACUUGUUGAUGAUUUUGCACCAGUCGUAGUAAGGAAGCUGAUUAGUGGUACUGUGCCGGAGGAUGGGGGACUAUUUCCAAAUGAAGUCGAGAUCCAAUGCCGGGUCAUUCACAAAAACAUCGUUAGGCUCAUAGGUUGUUGCUUGGAAGUUGACACCCCGAUGCUAGUCUAUGAGUUUCUCUCUAGAGGUAGCCUCAGUGACAUUCUUCACAGCAACAAGGUGUCUCUCAACUUGGAUUUGCGUUUAAGUAUUGCUGCAAAAUCAUCACAUGGUUUAGCUUAUAUGCAUUCAAUGGCCAGUAGUAGCAAUAUCUUACAUGGUAAUUUUAGACCAUCAAAUAUACUCUUGAAUGACAACUUUGAGCCUAAGAUCUCAGACUUUGGCAUGUCAAGGAUGGCUGUGCCACACACUGGAAUAGUUGCUGGUGACAUGGUUUAUAUGGAUCCGGUAUACCUACAAACAGGCGUGCUAACCAAACAAGGUGAUGUGUACAGCUUUGGAGUUACCAUCUUGGAGCUUGUUACUAGGAAGAGGGCCAACAGCUUAGUAAGGAUAUUCCUUGAGAAUCACAAGCAGGGUAAGAAAUCAACCGACUUGUUUGAUAAACAAAUUGCGGUGACGGAAGAUUUGGAGCUUCUUGACACUCUGGCAAGAAUUGCUGUGGAAUGCCUCAACCAUGAUGAGGACCUAAGGCCGACAAUGGUAGAUGUUGCAAAGCGUCUAUCUAUACUGAACCGAUCCCGUAAUGUGGGUGGACUAGUUGAUGCAUCUACUAGUGGAGUUUGA
rnacentral:rRNA from 1 species